rnacentral:misc_RNA from 1 species
UCCGAUUUGAAUAUCGGCAGUCUCGUUAGAGUGCCCGACUUUACGCUGGCAACUAACGACAAGGGUUGCGCUCGUUGCGGGACUUAACCCAACACCUCACGGCACGAGCUGACGACAGCCAUGCAGCACCUGAGCAGGAUGGUAUUGCUACCUCGUCGGGCUUUCACCCUUCUACUACCUGCAUGUCCAGCCUGGGUAAGGUUCUUCGCGUUGCGUCGAAUUAAACCACAUGCUCCACCGCUUGUGCGGGCCCCCGUCAAUUCCUUUGAGUUUCAGCCUUGCGGCCGUACUCCCCAGGCGGGGCACUUAGAGCGUUAGCUACGGCACCGGGAGGGUCGCUCCCCCCGACGCCUAGUGCCCAUCGUUUACGGCGUGGACUAC